UCGCGCGGGAGCAAAACACCUGGGCCCCUCUUGGCUCUCCACCCCCGCCAGUCUCCCCAAACCUCCUUCUCCGUCUCGCUCCUCAAGAGGAGGGUACGCCGCCCCUGCGGAGGAGUGUGCAGCCUUCGCACGGGUGACCUCGCGUCCGCCCCCGAUACAUCUUAGGAAACAGGACGGGGAAGAAUGGGCGUUUUGUGGGCAAGGAUGAGGAUACUCCAUUGAGAGUCCACGGAGUCAGGUGUGUGAUUGCUUCUGCUCUCUGACACUAUUAAAAUAAUUCUGUACACAGAGGAAAGCCAUAUGAGGGACAUGCUGAGAAGGUGGCCAUCUGCAAGCUGAGAAACGAGGCCUCAAUGGACACCAAUCCUGCUAGAACCUUGAUCUUGGACUUCCAGCCUCCAGAACUGUGGGAAAAUAGAUUUCUGUUGUUUAAUCCACUCAUUUUCCUGCUUCUUUGAACAACUGGUAAUGUUGUCAAUUACAUGUCAGACAUUGUGAAUUGGAUCUGAUUGGAUUUUCUUGUAUUUCUAUACAUCUUCUUAAGCUUUGUUUUGGGAUUCAGUUAAAUCACGUGGAAACAACUUGAUUCUUUUAAGGCUUGCUCCUACGUUUUGUUAGGCUGGACUAGUGCAGUUUGUAGUUUAGGGCUAGUUUUGCUUCAGUACUGAGGCGAUGUAUAAGUCCUUCG